rnacentral:misc_RNA from 1 species
GAUGGAAUAAAAGAUACAGCAUGUCUAAUGAUAUGCAAAAUUCUACUGUGAAUUUAAUUCUCUAAUGAUCAAGAACUUACAAAUUUUCAAAAGAAUAAAUAGCUUAUGAACUAACUAGAAAAAUUACUAAUCUAUUACUAAAAAUUGGAUUAGCAAGUAAAUAAGCUGUGAACUGAGUUAAAAAAUUGUUAUUCUAUUAGCAAAGUUUAGAUUAAUAAUCAAGCAAC